rnacentral:lncRNA from 1 species
GCUGGUGCAAAAGACACAGUGCAGGGGACACGGACAAGGAGCGGCUCCUGACAGGCUUCCAAUGGAAGGGAUACAUGGACGAAUUGAACAUACACCGGAAUGAGAGGGAUCGGGAGACUGUAUAGGUAUGAGACUAUACAGUUAAAAGAUAGCUUAAAGGAAUUGAUUUGGCUACCUAUAUCACCAAAAUGCAUUUACUUUUCGG